UUUAAGGAAAGCUCUUUGUUUUUUGAAAGGGUGCUUUUAUGAGAUAGAGCUUUUUUAGAUAAUGCUGGGGAAGGUUUUCCGGAUUAUAUCGGAGGGGUUGUAGCUCAGUUGGUUAGAGCGCGCGCUUGAUAAGCGCGAGGUCGGAGGUUCAAGUCCUCCCAGGCCCACCAAUUUACCUAUCCAUUUGCCUUUAUCCGUUUAUUUGCCGAUUAAUCGGUCCAUUGAAUUUAAGUGUUGGUAACGGCUUUUAUAAUAAUGAGAAAUCAUGAUUAUAAAAGAAUUCCUAAUAAAAGGCUUGUUUUUAAAAUGUGGCGAUUAUCCAUUUCGAUUAGGCAAAAGAACAAAACAACGCGGUCAAAUGCAAAAGGCUUUAAAUUUUGCAAAACACUUUGAAUUUUAAAGUGAUCCAAGUUCGUGAUCUCGAAUUUAAAAGUUUCGAAUGCUUUAUCCUUUUUU
rnacentral:misc_RNA from 1 species